rnacentral:rRNA from 1 species
UACAGAGGUGGCAAGCGUUGUUCGGAUUUACUGGGCGUAAAGGGCGCGUAGGCGGCUUAACAAGUCACUUGUGAAAUCUCCGGGCUUAACUCGGAACGGCCAAGUGAAACUGUCAAGCUAGAGUGCAGAAGGGGCAAUCGGAAUUCUUGGUGUAGCGGUGAAAUGCGUAGAUAUCAAGAGGAACACCUGAGGUGAAGACGGGUUGCUGGGCUGACACUGACGCUGAGGCGCGAAAGCCAGGGGAGCAAACGGG